GAUGAACGCUGGCGGCGUGCCUAAUACAUGCAAGUCGAGCGAACAGAUGAGGAGCUUGCUCCUCUGACGUUAGCGGCGGACGGGUGAGUAACACGUGGAUAACCUACCUAUAAGACUGGGAUAACUUCGGGAAACCGGAGCUAAUACCGGAUAAUAUAUUGAACCGCAUGGUUCAAUAGUGAAAGACGGUUUUGCUGUCACUUAUAGAUGGAUCCGCGCCGCAUUAGCUAGUUGGUAAGGUAACGGCUUACCAAGGCGACGAUGCGUAGCCGACCUGAGAGGGUGAUCGGCCACACUGGAACUGAGACACGGUCCAGACUCCUACGGGAGGCAGCAGUAGGGAAUCUUCCGCAAUGAGCGAAAGCCUGACGGAGCAACGCCGCGUGAGUGAUGAAGGUCUUCGGAUCGUAAAACUCUGUUAUUAGGGAAGAACAAAUGUGUAAGUAACUAUGCACGUCUUGACGGUACCUAAUCAGAAAGCCACGGCUAACUACGUG
rnacentral:rRNA from 1 species